rnacentral:rRNA from 1 species
GAUGAACGCUGGCGGCGUGCCUAAUACAUGCAAGUCGAGCGAACAGACGAGGAGCUUGCUCCUCUGACGUUAGCGGCGGACGGGUGAGUAACACGUGGAUAACCUACCUAUAAGACUGGGAUAACUUCGGGAAACCGGAGCUAAUAACGGAUAAUAUAUUGAACCGCAUGGUUCAAUAGUUAAAGACGGUUUUGCGGUCGCUUAUAGAUGAAUACGGACCGCAUUAGCUAGUUGUUAAGGUAACGGCUUAGCAAGGCAACGAUGCGUAGCCGACCCGAGAGGGUGGAUGGACAGCUGGGCAGUGAGGCAGGGCAGAGACUCCUAGGGGGGGACGCAGUCGGGAAUCUUCCGCGAUGGGGGAGAGCGUGAUGGAGCAACGCCGGGGGAGGGAUGAAGGUGUUCGGAUGGGAGAGCUCUGUUAUUAGGGAAGAACAAAUGUGUAAGUAACCAGGCACGUCAUGACGGUACCGAGUCAGAAAGCCACGGCUAACUACGUG